rnacentral:rRNA from 1 species
GACGAACGCUGGCGGCGUGCUUAACACAUGCAAGUCGAACGGAAAGGCCUGCUUUUCGUUGUGUACUGAGGGGACGCGCGUGGCAAAAGGGCGAGAAUCACGUGAGUGAUACUUUCCGAACUCGGGUAGAAGCUGGGGCAACUGGGUGUAAUUAGCGCCAGGACCGUAGGGUGGGUUGUGAGGUGGAAAACGAUGUGGUUGGGGUCGGGGAUUAUCAGGUUGCGGAUGGGGUUGUGGGUGGGCAAGUGGGUGACGGGUAGCCUGCCGGGGAGGGUGGCCGGGAACAGUGGGACUGAGAUACGGCGCAGACGCCUACGGGAGGCAGCAGUGGGGAAUAUUGCGCGAUGGGCGGAAGCCUGAUGCAGCGAGGCCGCGUGGGGGAUGACGGCCUUCGGGUUGUAAACUCCUGUCGACCGCGAGGAAGCCACCGGGUUGGAAGGGUGGUGACGGUAGUGGUAGAAGAAGCACCGGCUAACUACGUG